rnacentral:rRNA from 1 species
UACGGGGUGGGCAAGCGUUGUUCGGAAUUACUGGGCGUAAAGGGCUCGUAGGCGGCCAACUAAGUCAGACGUGAAAUCCCUCGGCUUAACCGGGGAACUGCGUCUGAUACUGGAUGGCUUGAAUCCGGGAGAGGGAUGCGGAAUUCCAGGUGUAGCGGUGAAAUGCGCAGAUAUCAGGAGGAACACCGGUGGCGAAGGCGGGUCUCUGGGCCGAUACUGGCGCUGAGGAGCGAAAGCGUGGGGAGCGAACAGG